CACGCUCCACACGAUUAUUAUUUUAAUUGAGCAUGCGGCCAUCCAAAAGAGGAUGUAACACCAGUAGCUAUAGUUGGUAGGGAUACCAAUUGUUAGUUACAUUAGGUGU
rnacentral:sRNA from 1 species